UGGCGUAAGUAGGAUGUCUGUUUCGUACUUUUAAUUCGCAUUUUUAAAACCUGUAAAUGUUGCGUCAUGCUUAAUUUUAUCUUUUUUCUUUAGGAUAAAAAAAAAAUAAAAAUUAUCAUUUUAGGAAUAAUUGACCAUCUUAUUAAUAAACUACAAUUAUCAUCUUUAACAAAAUAAUUUAAUUAGUAAUUAGGAACUGAAAGUUUUUUUUAAUACAUCAAAUAUGUUUCUACAUAUAAUGAAAGCUAUAGGAUCUCUCAGAAUUAGGACAUACGGAGCUAGUUAUCACACUGGAAAUUAUAGAAGUACUAAGGAAAGAGGAUCUUUAUAUAGAAAUAAUAUUAAUAAUAGAAAUGGACGAUUUGAAAAUCGAGGAAAAAAUAAUACGCAUAAUACCAAUGGAAUUUUGAAAAAGCCAAAUUGGAAUUUUGAAAAUUUAAAACCUUUCAAAAAAGAUUUUUAUAUACCACAUCCUAAUGUUCAAGCACGUCACCCACAAGAAAUAGAUAUGUUUAGACAAGAAAAUCAAAUUACUCUUAAAGGAGAAAAAAUUCCUAAUCCUAUUCAGCAUUUUGAAGAAGGAAAUUUUCCUGACCAUGUAAUGCAAUGUAUAAGAAAACAAGGAUUUAGUGAACCAACUGCUAUCCAAGCUCAAGGAUGGCCAAUUGCUAUGUCUGGACAUAAUAUGGUUGGAAUAGCACAAACUGGAUCUGGAAAAACAUUAGGAUAUAUUUUACCUGCAAUAGUACAUAUUAGCAGUCAACAACCAUUAAAUCAUGGAGAUGGACCAAUUGCUUUAAUUUUAGCACCAACUAGAGAAUUGGCACAACAAAUUCAAAAGGUUACUUGUAGUUUUGGCUAUGUAAGAAGCACUUGUAUUUUUGGUGGUGCACCAAAAGGAAGCCAAGCUCGUGAUUUAGAACAAGGAGUUGAGAUUUGCAUUGCUACUCCUGGACGAUUAAUUGAUUUUUUGGAACGUGGCACAACUAAUUUACGUAGAUGUACAUAUUUGGUAUUGGAUGAAGCAGAUAGAAUGUUAGAUAUGGGUUUUGAACCACAGAUUAGAAAAAUUAUUGAACAAAUCAGACCAGAUAGACAAGUAUUAAUGUGGUCUGCAACUUGGCCAAAAGAAGUUCGAAACCUUGCAGAAGAAUAUCUUGUAGAUUAUACACAAUUGAAUAUUGGAUCAUUAACAUUAUCAGCUAACCAUAAUAUUCUUCAAAUUGUUGAUGUUUGUGAAGAAGAUGAAAAACAAACAAAAUUGCAAAAUCUUCUUCAGGAAAUCAGUAAUGUUAGUCCAGAUGGUGGAAAGACAAUAAUUUUUGUAGAAACAAAAAAAAAAGUGGAGAGUAUCACUAAAACUAUCCGUCGUUAUGGCUGGCCAGCUGUAUGUAUACAUGGUGACAAAUCACAAUUAGAAAGAGAUUUUGUUCUUUCAGAAUUUAGGAGGAAUAAAGAUUGUAUUCUUGUAGCAACAGAUGUUGCUGCUCGUGGAUUGGAAAGGAACAGAAGGAGAUAAAGAAUCGAACGAUGCGCUUGUGUUAAAGAAUUGAGAGGAAAGAUUGGAAUAAAGGGAAAGUACAUUAGUAAUAAAUGUGGGCAUCCUUUAAUUUAUGUUAAUCAGUCUGGUUGUCCUUUGUUUCAGAGGCACAUGGUGCACAAAUUGUGUUGAGUGUGCGAUGAAAAACGAUCGUUCAAUAAAGAAAACAUGGCUCACUCAUUGUACAUGCGCAAUUCUGUUUUGCACAUAAUAUUGUACUUAAUGUGCCUCUGUGUUCAGCCUGUGUACCACGCAAGUAGUAGAGUGGUGCGCGGGUGAUACUGUUGGUUGGUUGUGAGAUAAGACCAUGGUUUACAUUUUGGUACAACCAUCACACUUCAUAGCCAAUGCUCAGCCCGAGACAACAAUCUAUUGAUUUUGCUACUAUCGCUACUCUGUGAUGAUGCUUAGGACACGACGUGAUAUGAAAUUGCAUUUAAGAAUAGCAUACAUCGUGGGCGCUCUGUAUGCUGUCAUAAUAUUCAACGAUUAAACAUGAUGUUGACGAUGUAAAGUACGUGAUCAACUUUGAUUAUCCAAAUUCAUCUGAAGACUACAUUCAUAGAAUUGGUAGAACGGGCCGUUCAAAUAAUUCAGGAACGAGUUAUGCAUUCUUUACACCACAAAAUGGUCGACAGGCUAAAAGUUUGGUUAAUGUACUUAGAGAAGCAAAACAAAUUAUCAAUCCAAAACUAAUGGAACUUGCAGACAGAAAUGGAAAUGAUAUCUCACGAAAUCGUUGGGGUUAUGGAACUUAUCGUAAAAGAGAAAAUGUUUUCCCUAAAACACAUAAACGAUUUGAAGUGGUCUAGAUUAACUUUACAAAAUUUCUAAAUGUGUAACUUAUUGGAGAUGGAAUUUGUUACAAUCUCUUUCUCUGUGAUUAGAAAAAAUUGUCCAUCAAGGCUCUAUGUUAGUUCCGUGCUCGUUAAUUUUUUUAUUUUUAUUUAUAAUCUUACUGUUCCUAGUAAGUAAUUAUUCUUAGUAUGAAAUUAGUAUAAAAUGAGCUAUGCAAGGAGAGACUCUUUGUUAAAUUUCCAUUAUAUAACAAUAUUUUGCAUUAAAUUUUUAUUUUUCCAUUUAUUAAAACAUGAAAAGAGUGAAAAAUAUGUGAUAUGAAAUAUGCGUGAAAAUGUAAGUAUAAAGAAAUACAUGAAUACUUACAUACUGAA